UACGAAGGGGGCUAGCGUUGCUCGGAAUUACUGGGCGUAAAGGGCGCGUAGGCGGGUUGUCGAGUUGGAGGUGAAAGCCCAGGGCUCAACCUUGGAAUUGCCUUCAAAACUGAUAGACUAGAGUAUGGAAGAGGUAAGUGGAACUCCGAGUGUAGAGGUGAAAUUCGUAGAUAUUCGGAAGAACACCAGUGGCGAAGGCGACUUACUGGUCCAUGACUGACGCUGAGGCUCGAAAGCGUGGGGAGCAAACAGG
rnacentral:rRNA from 1 species